UCAGAGGGCCGGGCGGCCGCGUCAUGUAGCGAUACAUGCCGAGGAAAGUCCGGGCUCCGCGGAACGACGGUGGCGGGUAACGCCCGCCGGCCAAGGGCGCGAGCCCGCGGUCAGGGACAGUGCAACAGAGAGCAGACGGCCUGGGCCUCGGCCCGGUCAAGGUGAAAGGGUGCGGUAAGAGCGCACCGCGCGCGCCGGUAACGGCCGCGGCACGGUAAACCCCACCGGGAGCAAGACCGAAUAGGGGCGGCAUGGGCGCAGCGAUGCGUCCGGGGCGUGUUCCCGCCCGCUGCCCGGGUUGGUUGCUGGAGCGUGUCGGCAACGGCACGCCGAGAGGAAUGGUCGCCCAUCUUCCUUCGGGGAGUGGACAGAACCCGGCUUACAGGCCCUCUGACGUU
rnacentral:RNase_P_RNA from 2 species